CACCAGUGGCGAAGGCGGCCUGCUGGACAUUAACUGACGCUGAGGAGCGAAAGCGUGGGGAGCAGACAGGAUUAGAUACCCUGGUAGUCCACGCCGUAAACGAUGGAUACUANGGUGUGGGANGUAUUGACCCCCUUNCCGUGCCNGGAGUNAACACAAUUAAGUAUNCCNCCCUGGGGGAGUACGGCCGCCANGUU
rnacentral:rRNA from 1 species